rnacentral:rRNA from 1 species
AACGAACGCUGGCGGCUUGCCUAACACAUGCAAGUCGAACGAGACCUUCGGGUCUAGUGGCGCACGGGUGCGUAACGCGUGGGAACCUGCCCUUAGGUUCGGAAUAACUCCCCGAAAGGGGUGCUAAUACCGGAUAAUGUCUUCGGACCAAAGAUUUAUCGCCUUUGGAUGGGCCCGCGUUGGAUUAGCUAGUUGGUAGGGUAAAAGCCUACCAAGGCGACGAUCCAUAGCUGGUCUGAGAGGAUGAUCAGCCACACUGGGACUGAGACACGGCCCAGACUCCUACGGGAGGCAGCAGUGGGGAAUAUUGGACAGUGGGCGAAAGCCUGAUCCAGCAAUGCCGCGUGAGUGAUGAAGGCCUUAGGGUUGUAAAGCUCUUUUACCCGGGAUGAUAAUGACAGUACCGGGAGAAUAAGCUCCGGCUAACUCCGUG